rnacentral:rRNA from 1 species
AGUGAACGCUGGCGGCAGGCCUAACACAUGCAAGUCGAACGGCAGCACAAGAGAGCUUGCUCUCUGGGUGGCGAGUGGCGGACGGGUGAGGAAUGCAUCGGAAUCUGCCCAUUUGUGGGGGAUAACCUCGGGAAACCGGGACUAAUACCGCAUACGACCUACGGGUGAAAGCAGGGGAUCUUCGGACCUUGCGCAGAUGGAUGAGCCGAUGCCGGAUUAGCUAGUUGGAGGGGUAAAGGCCCACCAAGGCGACGAUCCGUAGCUGGUCUGAGAGGAUGAUCAGCCACACUGGGACUGAGACACGGCCCAGACUCCUACGGGAGGCAGCAGUGGGGAAUAUUGGACAAUGGGCGCAAGCCUGAUCCAGCCAUGCCGCGUGUGUGAAGAAGGCCUUCGGGUUGUAAAGCACUUUUGUUGGGGAAGAAAAGCAGCCGGUUAAUACCCGGCUGUCAUGACGGUACCCAAAGAAUAAGCACCGGCUAACUUCGUG